rnacentral:misc_RNA from 1 species
AAAAGGAAAUGGCAAUUAUUCAAAGCACACUCACCCUGUUGAUCACCACCACCGUUCAUCCCAACCCCAGCAAAAUUAUACACCAUUGAAGAACUGAACCCGCCCCUUGGUACCUCGCUAGAAUUCUUUUGUGUCACAAAGAAAAUAUUGCACCAACCACGCCAAUUACCCCUAGGAUCACCAAAUUAUCGUGCACAAUACAGCUUAGUACCGUACCAGAAAUAUCCUUAGGAACCACAGGACUCUCUGCUCCUCCAUCUUUUUUAGCCUUUGGGGGUGCUGGUGCCGGAGCAGGAGGCUUAGGGGCGAAAAGGUCUAGAGGGAGCAGCACCUUGUCAACCUGGUAAAUGGCAACCUUCCCAUCUGUGUACACAAUUGCUGAUACACUUGUAUUGGUAAGUCCUGUGCUUAUAUUCACUAAAUUUUCAGUGGUUGUCACAUUGAGGGCAUAUCGAUUGCCAGAUCCUGAAAGUGUUUUUAAAGGGUUACUCACAGUCUGGAACUGGGAAGUUGAUAGAAAUGUAGGAAUUACAUGAAACUUCACCAACUCAGACUUCUCUUCAUCGGUUAGGGAGUUGAGAGUGCCUGAUUUGAGGCUUGAAAACGAGCCAUCGCUUGGUGCAAAGAUGGUUAGACCAUUGUUUGAGUUGUUGAGGACAGUGAGCAAGUGGUUUUCCUCUUGGGUGGAUUUUAGAAGGCGGAUGAAGACGGUGAAAUGGCCAUCCUUUUCAAGGAUUUUAGUGACAUUGGUGGGGGCAGUUACUGAAGCUGGCUGUGCUGGGGAUGCAGCUGGUGGCUGCGUUAUGACUGGAGGAGGAGGGGAUGCAGCAACCGGUCCCUGGGCUGGUGAAGCAGCCGGAGACUGAGCUAGAGUUAUAGUGCAAUGAAGGAAGAUAACAAGAAGUGAAAAAGAGAAGAAAGACUGUUGCUUCAUAGUUGUGCUGGAGUUAGAAACAAAUGCGAAAAAUGUACAAGGAAACCAGCCCUAGCUAGUGCUUGUGCAAG